rnacentral:rRNA from 1 species
CCCGUCCACAUCACGAAAAGUGGAAUUGUACUAGAAGUCCGCACGCUGACCCGCAAGGGAGGCAGCGGCCCAAGGUAUGAUUCAUGAUUGGGGUG